CAGCCCUGCUGGUUCCAGGCAGUGAGCCCUGGGUCCGCAUCUCCGCGUGUCAGAGACUGUGCAAACCCAGCGCCCUGACAGAGGACUGUCACCCUCGGAGAGGGGCCUCUCUCCCUGGGUUGUCCAUAGCGACGACCAGUGUUUAUGGUGGGCUCACGGUGUGUGGGUACUUUCUCAGCACUUAACCUGUAUUAACUCAUUUACUGUGGCCAACAACACUAGGAGGACUGUGCUAUUUUAUCCCUAUUUUACAGAUAGGAACACUGAGGCCCAGAAGGAGCCCAUUUUCCGUGUACCCGGCUUGGUCUCGCAUGGCCUGCAAGACCAUGGGAGCAUUGUCUCGCAGGCAGACAUUCUUGUGUCAGGGAGACAUUCUUGUCAGGGAGCAUUCUUGUCUCUUCAAUGGGGUUUAAAGACAGGGACCCUGAGAGACAUGGUUCACUUCUUCCUGUCUUUGCAGGCUCCACACUGAGGGGAGCCCAGUCAGGCAUGGCUCCCGUUGAUGAUCGGCCUGUCCACCGUCCGACAGUCCGUGGCCUGUCCUGCAGGCGGAAGGAUAAGAGAGGGAUUGCUUCUUUUCCCGUUCCACAGAUGUUUAGACCGAGGCUCUGCGACACUAAAGGAUUUCCCUGAUGUCCCAUAUCUGGUGAGCAACAGGGCCAGAAUGGACCCCGGGGUCUUGCUCUGUGUCAGGAGAGCCCCUUUGGCCUUCGCGUGGCUGGGCCUCUGCCUCCUCUCUACCUUAUCCCUACCAC
rnacentral:lncRNA from 1 species